AAGUCGGCAAAGCGUAUCUGUAACUUUGGGAAAAGGAUUGGCACUGAGGGUUGGGCCUAGGGGUCUAUGUCCUCAACCCUUGGGCUUUCGACAGUCUACACGAGUUUCUAUUGCAGUGAGGGUGGGCAGUCGCAUGUCGAUUGGGCUACGAACGUAGAAUGUCCCCUCACGGGGGAUUUUCCCUAGGCGAUGAACAGUCAACUCAGAACUGGUAUGGGCAAGGGGAAUAUGACUAUUUAAUUAAAACAAAGCAUUUCUAUGGUCCUUGUGGAUGUUGACGCAAUGUGAUUUCUGCCUAGUUCUCUGAAUUUCAAAGUGAAGAAAUUUAACCAAGCACAGGUAAAUGGAGGGACUAACUAUGACUCUCUUAAGGUAUCCAAAUGCCUCAUCAUCUAAUUAGUGACACACAUGAAUGGAUUAACGAGAUUCCCAUUGUCCCUAUAUACUAUCUAGCGAAACCACAACCAAGGAAAUGGGCUUGGCAUAAUCAGCGGGGAAAGAAGACCCUGUUGAGAUUGACUCUAGUCUGACUUUGUGAAAUGAGUUGAGAGGUGUAGAAUAAGUGGGAGUCAUUUUCGGCGCAAGUGAAAUACCACUACUUGUAACAUUAUUUUACUUAUUCCAUGGGGUGGAGACGAGGCAUUGCCCCUGUUUUUUUCCUUAAGACACAUUUCGAUAGGUCAAUCUGGGAGAAAUACAUUGUCAGGUGGGGAGUUUGGCUGGGGUGGCACAUCUAUUAAAAUAUAAUACAGGUGUCCUAAGAUGAGCUCAACGAGAACAUAAAUCUUGUGUGUAACAAAACGGUAAAAUCUCAUUUGAUUUUGAUUUUCAGUACGAAUACAAGCCGUGAAAGUGUGGCCUAUAGAUCCUUUAGACUUUCAGAAUAUGAAGCUAGAGGUGUUAGAAAAGUUACCACAAGGAUAACUAGAUUGUGGCAGCCAAGCAUUCAUAGUGACAUUUAUUUUUUAUCCUUCGAUGUCAACUCUUCCUAUCAUUGUGAAAUAGAAUUCACCAAGUGUUGGAUUGUUCACCCACCAAUAGGGAAUGUGAGCUAGGUUUAGACCGUCAUGAUAGAGGUUAUUUUUACCCUACUGAUGAACAAUUUCACAAUAGAAAUUCAACUUAGUACGAGAGGAACCAUUGAUUCACACAAUUGGUCAUCGCACUUGGUUGAAAAUCCAGUGACACAAAGCCACCUUGUGUCAAAUUAUGACCAAAUGCCUCUAAGUCAGAAUCCAUGCUAGAAGCAGUGCUUGUCACUCCUUGACUGUAUAUUGACCCGCAGUAGUGGUGUUUCUUCGACACCCCCAGGGGCCUGUGUCACUUGUGAACCUCGGUAGGGAAGCGUCUCGGUCGGGGCAUCUUUGAAGUUCAAUUUCAAAUGGUCAUUGAGAAGAAUCCUUUGCAAACGACUUAAAUACAUGAUGGGGUAUUGUAAGUGGUAGAGUGGCCUUGCUUCCAUGAUCCACUGAGAUUCAUCCCUUUGUCGCCUCGAUUCAG
rnacentral:ncRNA from 1 species